rnacentral:tRNA from 1 species
CGGGAAGUGGCGGAGUCUGGUUUUACCGCGCCUGGCCUGGACCCAGGAGACCGCAGGUUCAAAUCCUGUCUUCCCGA